UCUACUAUUUAACUUAAACGUUAAUUUAACGUAAAUGUUCAAUUUACAAAUGUGUUGAUUAUACUUAACCUAAGCUAAUCGUCAAUCCUAGCUAGCCCACCAUGAGCUCUCCAAGCUACUCUCCUCCUGCUAAAGAAGAGUCUGCUGGACGGAGAAAGAGGGUCUGUGGCUGAACAUUGUCGUGAAAGAAGAGGGGGAGGAUGUUUCAGUAAAAGGAGAGGAAGAAGCUUUCAGAAUGAAAGAGGAGGCUAUCAGUAUCACAUUGAAAGAAGAGGAAGAACCUUUUGGAGUGGAAGAGGAGGCUAUCCCAAUAAAAGAGGAGGAAGACGCUUGGAGAGAUGAAGAGGAGACUGAAGAUCUGAUUAACACCCGAGAGAGACCAAACUCUCAUGAUGACAGCGGGAAGAGUCCUUCAGGGAAACCAGACCCGGCGACGCCCAAACCAACGAGACGACAUCAGUGCUCCCACUGUGGGAAGAGUUUUCCCUGGUUAAAGGCCCUGAAGCAGCAUAAGAAAAACACUCUGGAGAGAAGCCUUACCGCUGUUCUCAAUGUGGAAUGACUUUUACCUGGGCAGGAAGCCUAUGGGGGCAUAAGAGAAUACACUCUGGAGAGAAGCCUUACCACUGCUCCCACUGUGAAAAUAGUUUUAGGAAGUUAGGUGACCUGAAGGCGCAUGAGAGGACACACACGGGAGAAAAGCCCUACCAAUGCUCCCAGUGUGGAAAUAGUUUUAGCAAGCUGGGGAACCUAAAACAGCAUAAAAGAACACACACAGGAGAAAAGCCCUACCAAUGCUCUCAGUGUGGAAAGAGUUUUAGCCAUUCAGGAGCCUUAAAGACCACGAGAGGAGACACAGACAAGAAAAACCCUACCAAUGCUCCCUGUGUGGAAAGAGUUUUAUCAAGUUAGGGGCCCUGAAUCGGCAUGAGAGGACACACACUGGAGGGGAUAAAACGUACCACUGCUCCCUGUGUGAAAAGAGUUUUAACCGGUUAAGACAUCUGAAUAAGCAUGAAAGAAUACAUACACAGGAGGAGAAGACAUACCACUGCUCUCAGUGUGGAAAGACAUUUUCCCAGUCAGAGGACCUGAAAUCACAUGAGAGAAUAGAGAGGCUGUGUUCUGACUUGUGCUUUUAACUGAGAAUUAGUGUUUUUGUUUCAUGUUGUUUAUGAUUUAACCUGUCUAUAUAAUACAUAACUGUACUAUAACACACACAGGAGAGAAAACCUUCCACUCAUUUUGCUUUUGACUGAGAAUUAAAGUGUUUUUUGUUUCAUGUUGUUUAUGAUUAAACCUGUACAUAACAGUACUAUAACACACACAGGAGAGAAAACCUUCCACUGUUCUCAUUUAGCCUUUGACUGAGAAUGAAGUGUUUUUUGUUUCAUGUUGUUUAUGAUUAAACCUGUCUAUAUAAUACAUAACAGUACUAUAACACACACAGGAGAGAAAACCUUCCACUGUUCUCAUUUAGCCUUUGACUGAGAAUUAAAGUGUUUUUUGUUUCAUGUUGUUUAUGAUUAAACCUGUCUAUAUAAUACAUAACAGUACUAUAACACACACAGGAGAGAAAACCUUCCACUGUUCUCAUUUAGCCUUUGACUGAGAAUGAAGUGUUUUUGUUUCAUGUUGUUUAUGAUUAAACCUGUACAUAACAGUACUAUAACACACACAGGAGAGAAAACCUUCCACUGUUCUCAUUUUGCUUUUGACUGAGAAUGAAGUGUUUUUUGUUUCAUGUUGUUUAUGAUUAAACCUGUACAUAACAGUACUAUAACACACACAGGAGAGAAAACCUUCCACUGUUCUCAUUUAGCCUUUGACUGAGAAUGAAGUGUUUUUUGUUUCAUGUUGUUUAUGAUUAAACCUGUCUAUAUAAUACAUAACAGUACUAUAACACACACAGGAGAGAAAACCUUCCACUGUUCUCAUUUGGCUUUUGACUGAGAAUUAAAGUGUUUUUGUUUCAUGUUGUUUAUGAUUAAACCUGUCUAUAUAACACAUAACUUAAUUGAAUUAAAGUGUUUUUUUGUUUUUUUUAUAAUCCACUGAUGGGUUUAGAUUUGUAAACUUUAAAUAUUGUUAAUCGUCCGUUUUACGAGAGACAUAAGGGGAUGUCAUAGUCUGGUUUCUACAACAGAAGUUAAAUGGUUAUGAGGAAUGUAUAUAUGGUGGGUUCAGUUAAGAUUGGAAUGUGUUGAGUGAAGGGAGGUCAGUGUCACAUGCUGGUGGAGAGAUGUGGGUUAGUGAGGAAGGGAGCCGAGGUCAGUGUCACAUGCUGGUGGAGAGAUGUGGGUUAGUGAGGAAGGGAGCCGAGGUCAGUGUCACAUGCUGGUGGAGAGAUGUGGGUUAGUGAGGAAGGGAGCCGAGGUCAGUGUCACAUGCUGGUGGAGAGAUGUGGAUUAGUGAGGAAGGGAGCCGAGGUCAGUGUCACAUGCUGGUGGAGAGAUGUGGGUUAGUGAGGAAGGGAGCCGAGGUCAGGUCACAUGCUGGUGGAGAGAUGUGGAUUAGUGAGGAAGGGAGCCGAGGUCAGGUCACAUGCUGGUGGAGAGAUGUGGAUUAGUGAGGAAGGGAGCCGAGGUCAGGUCACAUGCUGGUGGAGAGAUGUGGGUUAGUGAGGAAGGGAGCCGAGGUCAGGUCACAUGCUGGUGGAGAGAUGUGGAUUAGUGAGGAAGGGAGCCGAGGUCAGGUCACAUGCUGGUGGAGAGAUGUGGGUUAGUGAGGAAGAGAGCAGAGGUCAGGUCACAUGCUGGUGGAGAGAUGUGAGGAAGGGAGCCGAGGUCAGGUCACAUGCUGGUGGAGAGAUGUGGAUUAGUGAGGAAGGGAGCCGAGGUCAGGUCACAUGCUGGUGGAGAGAUGUGAGGAAGGGAGCCGAGGUCAGGUCACAUGCUGGUGGAGAGAUGUGGAUUAGUGAGGAAGGGAGCCGAGGUCAGGUCACAUGCUGGUGGAGAGAUGUGAGGAAGGGAGCCGAGGUCAGGUCACAUGCUGGUGGAGAGAUGUGGAUUAGUGAGGAAGGGAGCCGAGGUCAGGUCACAUGCUGGUGGAGAGAUGUGGAUUAGUGAGGAAGGGAGCCGAGGUCAGGUCACAUGCUGGUGGAGAGAUGUGGAUUAGUGAGGAAGGGAGCCGAGGUCAGGUCACAUGCUGGUGGAGAGAUGUGGAUUAGUGAGGAAGGGAGCCGAGGUCAGGUCACAUGCUGGUGGAGAGAUGUGGAUUAGUGAGGAAGGGAGCCGAGGUCAGGUCACAUGCUGGUGGAGAGAUGUGGAUUAGUGAGGAAGGGAGCCGAGGUCAGGUCACAUGCUGGUGGAGAGAUGUGGAUUAGUGAGGAAGGGAGCCGAGGUCACAUGAAGGGAGAAGGAACAGUUUAUCGCCCGCGUCACUUAACUUCCUGCCUAGCAACAAAGAUGUCAUUUCUAGAGAGAAGGACGAGACUCCACCCAGAUUGGAGUAUAUAUAUACACAUAUACAUAUAUAUAUAUACACUACCACUGGUGGAAGUAUGUCUUUGUCUUUGUCUGUUCAGCCGUUCGAUCCUUUGGGUGAUUAAAGUUGGUUGGCACUUUU